rnacentral:rRNA from 1 species
UGGCAGCCUACCAUGCAGUCGAGCGGAACGAGUUAUCUGAACCUUCGGGGGACGAUAACGGCGUCGAGCGGCGGACGGGUGAGUAAUGCCUAGGAAAUUGCCCUGAUGUGGGGGAUAACCAUUGGAAACGAUGGCUAAUACCGCAUAAUACCUACGGGUCAAAGAGGGGGACCUUCGGGCCUCUCGCGUCAGGAUAUGCCUAGGUGGGAUUAGCUAGUUGGUGAGGUAAUGGCUCACCAAGGCGACGAUCCCUAGCUGGUCUGAGAGGAUGAUCAGCCACACUGGAACUGAGACACGGUCCAGACUCCUACGGGAGGCAGCAGUGGGGAAUAUUGCACAAUGGGCGCAAGCCUGAUGCAGCCAUGCCGCGUGUGUGAAGAAGGCCUUCGGGUUGUAAAGCACUUUCAGUCGUGAGGAAGGUAGUGUAGUUAAUAGCUGCAUUAUUUGACGUUAGCGACAGAAGAAGCACCGGCUAACUCCGUGCCAGCAGCCGCGGUAAUACGGAGGGUGCGAGCGUUAAUCGGAAUUACUGGGCGUAAAGCGCAUGCAGGUGGUUUGUUAAGUCAGAUGUGAAAGCCCGGGGCUCAACCUCGGAAUAGCAUUUGAAACUGGCAGACUAGAGUACUGUAGAGGGGGGUAGAAUUUCAGGUGUAGCGGUGAAAUGCGUAGAGAUCUGAAGGAAUACCGGUGGCGAAGGCGGCCCCCUGGACAGAUACUGACACUCAGAUGCGAAAGCGUGGGGAGCAAACAGGAUUAGCCCCCGGGGGGAUUCAAAA